rnacentral:rRNA from 1 species
AUGUCUUCCUCAAGCUCCCGCGCCACCUCACGGAUGCAGAGUCGGGUGCGUGUGGACAUGCCUGUCUUUGUUUGUCCGCGGUGUCGGGCGGGCGUUGUUCGGAGGAUUUCUCACACACCGAGGAACCAGAAUCGUCCGUUCUACAUGUGUAGCAAGAAUGGGGUGACAUGCUUUUUUCUUUGGGUCGAUGCUCUGGCCAAGACUCUGAUGAAUGAACUGUAAGAAGAGCAUGAAGAAUGGGUGAUGCUGCCACGAACGGCAGUGGCCGCAUCACGAGCUCCGGAAAAAGAGAUGGAGGGCGAAGCAUGCACUGACAGAGAGCUACCUGUUGAGCUUAGGAUGUUGUUGAAGAAGGUUAGGAAGCUUGGAGAUCAAGCACAAAUACCAAUACCCAUUUGCAAUUACUUUUGGGCAUUUGUAGGUAUGGUAAUUGCACUGGUUGUAAUGUUUAAAAUGUAUGGAAAGGCAUGA